rnacentral:tRNA from 1 species
UCUAAUGUGGCAGAAUAGUGCAAUGGAUUUAAGCCCCGUAUAUAAAGGACUCUUUCUUUAGAA